rnacentral:rRNA from 1 species
UACGAAGGGGGCUAGCGUUGCUCGGAAUUACUGGGCGUAAAGCGCACGUAGGCGGCUUCUUAAGUCGGUGGUGAAAUCCUGGAGCUCAACUCCAGAACUGCCUUCGACACUGGGAAGCUCGAGUCCGGGAGAGGUGAGUGGAACUGCGAGUGUAGAGGUGAAAUUCGUAGAUAUUCGCAAGAACACCAGUGGCGAAGGCGGCUCACUGGCCCGGUACUGACGCUGAGGUGCGAAAGCGUGGGGAGCAAACAGG